rnacentral:tRNA from 1 species
CUGGGUAUGGCCUAAUUGGUAAGGCGCAGGAUUCGGGUUCCUGAGACUCAGGGGGCAAGUCCCUGUACCCAGA